GAUAAACGCUGGCGGCGUGCAUAACACAUGCAAGUCGAACGAAGUGGCGAACGGGUGAGUAACACGUGAGUAACCUGCCUUACACAAGGGGAUAGCCUUUGGAAACGAAGAAUAAUACCCUAUAGUGUAAGAUGGACUUGCGUCUGAUUAGCUAGUUGGUGAGAUAAAGGCCCACCAAGGCAACGAUCAGUAGCCGGCGUGGGAGAGUAUACGGCCACAUUGGGACUGAGACACGGUCCAAACUCUACGGGAGGCAGCAGAGGUGAAUUUUGCACAAUGGGUGAAACCCUGAUGCAGCAACGCGGGGUCGGGAUGACGGCCUUCGGGUUGUAAACCGAUUACAGCCAUGACGCGGUAGUGGCAGAAGAAGCACCGGCUAACUACGUGCCAGCAGCCGCGGUAAUUC
rnacentral:rRNA from 1 species